GACGUGCAUGUGCUUGUAAUAUGACCUAAUUAGAAUCCAUGAUCAUCACCUAUUUAAAGUUUAGCUUUAAUUAUUGCUACGAUUAUAACUGCCUGCGAUGUAUCGUUUGCAUGUGAUGCGAAUGUGAGUGGGGUAGAUAGGUUUACAUGUGAUGCAAACUAAUAGACCAAUCCAAAUGAGAUCUAAACUAAAACUUCCUCAAUCAAGUCGAGAGUGAACCAACAUGAGCGAGUCAUAUUAGAUUAAUUGCUCUAAUU
rnacentral:lncRNA from 1 species